AUGUGUGUGAAGAGAGGCUCAUCUAUGCAUCAAAGACACACAAUCCUUCAAUUAUCAUUGUCUGUCAUAUUUGGUGAUUCAACCCUUAAAUAUGUCUGUGAAGAAAGGUUUCUAACAGAGCUAGACAGAUCCUGCGCUGAGCUUUGCCAUAAGAGGAGCCCAUCAGUUUUAAGAGAAAAGUCCUACCAUGAGAUGGCAGAGUACGACUUCAAAAAAGUAGUUGGAGAAAUGUCAAACCGCUGCCCACUUCUCUACAAAGUGCUAACUACAGUUGCAAAAAAGCCACCAGACACUGUGGAGGCACCAAUCUCCCUCUUAUAUGGGGUACUUAUGUACCAAAGAAACCGAGAGCUAAGUCUUGUCCAAAGGGUCAACACCAUUCUUCUCACAGAAGGAAAUGCAAAGACACAGCUGAUGAAUCGUUGUCAGCGUCUUGGCUUUGGACUUUCCCAAAGGAGCAAAUAAAACUUGCUUGAUGUUGUAGGUGGACAUUUUACAGACAAAGUUGUACAAGCAGUCAAAGAUGGAAAGAGACUCCAAGGGACAGGUGAUAAUUGGGAUUGCAGGGUUAGGGCACAUGACAUGCGCAGUGACAAUCAGAAUAAGGACCUGUAUCACUUUGCCUCAAACUUAAUCAUUGAGAGAAUUCCAACAGAAGGCAUGUCCCAGAAGGCUCCACAGAGAGAUAUCAAGACCCUUCCAAACAAGGCCUUCCUGCUUGAUGAAAAUGAGGUUACAAAGCUGCGAGAAGACUUCAAGGUACUGGUUGCACGUGUCCUUAUUGCUGCUAUACCAGCCCUCCACUUCCUUAAAUCUGUGGUGCCAUCACACAUACAACACAAAUACCAGGAAGAGAUGAGCAAGAAGACAGACAUCCUCCCUCUUCCUCUACAGCUCAAAGAUGAGAAGAAAUAUAGUGAUGUUGUAGACAUACUAUGUAUAUAUGAGGACACAAUUGAAAUGGUCUACAAAGAAGCUGGAAAGAUUGUUGUCCCAGACCAUGCUGGACCUGCCCAGCCAGGUGGUCUUUGUGAUGUUCAGUCAGAACCAGACCAACCUGCAGCCCAUGUGAUCAGGGAGGAACUAGAUGACCACAUGUUAGGAAUAACAGUUCCUUUCAGAGGAGACCAGCUCACCCGUGUCAGGUUUGCUGGAGCAAAAGAUCUGAGAGCUGGUUGCCACACCGCAAAAGACCGAUUUGAUCAUUGUUCACCAUUUACUUGUAUACAGAAAAAUCUCUACUCAGCAGAGUCCAUCCGAGAGAUUGGGACACUGAAAUUCUUCAGGGAAAAGUACAACCGCCGAAACGUUACUCCAGAGAAAGUAACAAGGUCAUAUGAAGGGUGUGAGCAAUUUCUAUUGAGUGUUGGCAAAGCAUACAUCAUAGAGGCUGGCAUAGAAUUCUUUGGGAUGGACACCACCGACAGCCAGCCAACCAGGCACAUCCCACCUGCAAGGAUCCUCCAUCAUACAAAAACAGAAAAAUUGGGCUACUAUGACAAUGUGAUAGGAGCUUUUGUUGAUGAAUAUGUCAUGGCAGACCCUGAUGCUGAGCUUGUGGGUCAGACCAGAGGGCUAGAGAAGAGUAGAGAGCAAAUGAUUCAAAGCAGCUACUCCAAGUAUGCUGUGGAAAGGCUCACCAGUAUUGCACAAUUAGAGGGCUUCCUUUGCAAGCUACCUUUCCAGCAGGGAGUCAACCACUUUUUAAAGCCCCAUAAUGCUUUUAAUAACAUUUUUACAAUCCUUUAUUUCCAGGCUCUCCUGUCAGAGGAAACCGCACAUCGCGUCAAAUGGGGACGAUCCGUGAACUGGUCUGGUGGGAGAGGGAGGAACAGCACAAGAAAUCUGUAACAAGACGAGCAAGAACAUCGUUAAGAGCAUGGGGGCUAACAAGACAGAGAAGGCCAUGGUCAGAGCCU